UACGGAGGGGGCUAGCGUUGUUCGGAAUUACUGGGCGUAAAGCGCACGUAGGCGGCUUUGUAAGUUAGAGGUGAAAGCCCAGGGCUUAACCCUGGAAUUGCCUUUAAGACUGCAUCGCUAGAAUCGUGGAGAGGUGAGUGGAAUUCCGAGUGUAGAGGUGAAAUUCGUAGAUAUUGGGAAGAACACCGGUGGCGAAGGCGGCUCACUGGCUCAUUACUGACGCUCAGGCGCGAUAGCGUGGGGAUCAAACAGG
rnacentral:rRNA from 1 species